UUCUGUCAUGAUUGUGAGGUCUCCCCAGCCACAUGGAACUGGUAAUACUGCACCUUCAAUUGACUUAUGAAGAAACUAGCUCAGAUUGGAACAACAGCCAGGACAGUCACCACCAAGGGGACUUGCCCCACUGGAGAAGAGACCGGAGUGGGAGAGAAACUGUUACAGCCAAUCACUUCCUUCCAGGAAAAAAAAAGACGCAAAUAACAACACAAAAAAACGUGAUCUAAUAGACAAUCCAGAUAUAAAGAACACAAACCCUUUUCCCUACAAUUUAACCAAAUGCUAAAAUGCACCAGGAAACACAGGAUACUACAGAGAUAAAGAUUUGGCCAGCAGAUUAUCAACCCCAGGAAAAGAAAUCCAUUUCUGUAGCAUGCUAUGCUGUUGGAGGCACACGUCACACUUCUUAAUUCAAGGACAGAAAAGCACAAACUAAAAUGCACACUGGAGUAUGACUCCCCCUUCUCUAUCUGCUAAAGCGCUUCGCAUGUGACUUUCAAUCUCUAAGCUGGGAAUCAAUCAGGCAGCCCAGCCUCCUAUAUUUUCUAGUUGUAUUGCUUUGAGCAUCAAAUUUAACCUCUGUGCACCUCAAUUUCUUCAGCUGGAGACAAAGAAAGUGGCUGCACUGUGGCAGAGUGUUUGCAAAUGUUAAUCAUGGUUAUGGUAGCAUUCUACCUUGUCUUACAGAUGGUUGCCUAAAAAGGUAGGAAACUGUUCACGAAAAAGUCUCAACCGGUCCUAGAGUGAUCAGAAUGACAGCGCUGAAAUAAGGAGGGCAGUACCUCUUAUUCCAGAGAAGUGGGGAGCAGAGAGGAAGAUGGAGUGGAAAGGGGCGAGGCAAGGCCCUCCUGAAAUACCUCAACCCAAAUCUUCAAGAAAUCCCCAAGUCCUCACAGUGCUUUUUGUGGAUUUUUGUGGAAACCGGUAAAAGGGGCUGAUUUGCUGACCCCAGUGGGUAGAAAACAGAGACUGUCAAGAGAACAGAAGAGAAGGCAGAAAGGGGAUGGGGAAGUGGGGUUCGCCAUGUUCACGAGCUCCUGGAGCCACAGGGCCCCCCAGGAACAACAGAGCUGAGACUGGGUGGCCUUGUUUCUGGCCCAAUUCCCUGGGACCACCACCCUGGAAGGACACUUGAGCCCUACUCAAGGACCCACCACAACAUCUCAGCAUUGUCGGUCCUUAAAUGCCAAGGUUUGUGCUCACCAUUUCCAUCCUUAAGAUUCUCACAGGGAAGAACCCACACAACAGCUUUGUCCCUGCGACUCUGGGUGAGUUUCUGACACUGGCCUGGGCUCCCGUUUUGCCCGUCACCAACUUCUCACAGUAUAACUAUCCAAGAGAAGUAGCAUUUGAUGUCAGGGAAUCAAAAGGGCUAAGGCUCGGGAGGCCAAGGCAGGUGAAUCACUUGUAAUCAGGAGUUCGAGACCACCCUGACCAACAUAG
rnacentral:lncRNA from 1 species